rnacentral:siRNA from 1 species
AAACUGAAAUAAUACAAUGGCA